rnacentral:rRNA from 1 species
AACGAACGCUGGCGGCAUGCCUAACACAUGUAAGUCGAACGAGACCUUCGGGCCUAGUGGCGCACGGGUGCGUAACGCGUGAGAACCUGCCCUUAGGUCCGGCACAACUCCCCGAAAGGGGUGCCAAUACCGGACAAUCUCUUCGGACCAAGGAUGCAUCGCCUUUGGAUGGGCCCGCGCUGGAUUAACUAGUUGGUAGGGUAAAAGCCUACCAACGCGACGAUCCAUAGCUGGUCUGCGAGGAUGCUCAGCCACACUGGGACCGCGACACGGCCCAGACUCCUACGGGAGGCAGCAGUAGGGAAUAUUAGACAUUGCGCGAAAGCCUGAUCCAGCAAUGCCGCGUGAGUGAUGAAGGCCCUAGGGUUGUAAAGCUCUUUUACCCGGGAUGAUAAUGACAGUACCGGGAGAAUAAGCUCCGGCUAACUCCGUG